rnacentral:lncRNA from 1 species
GCAGGUGCAGCACCUACACCGAUGGCUGCUCUUGAGACACAGACAACAUAGGAGAGGACAAGUCCAGAAUUGCUAGACUGAAUCUAUCCAUCUGCUCUGCUCUCGGGACAACAGAGGAGAGGACGAGUCCAGAAUUGCUUGACUGAAUCUAUCCAUCUGCUCAGCUCAGUUCAUGCAGGUCAGGUCACAUCACGGAGGGAUUCCUGCGAAUCUACAUACAACUUCAAUUAAUUUAUUAUUAGUACUAGGUGGGUGUGAGAAAACUGAAAUUUUUAGAUGCAUGCUUGCUUGGAUGCGUGUCACACAACACUGUUUGCUCGUCUCAACUCUGUGUUUUUGCUUCUGUACCAACAUCUUCUCAACUUUGUGUUCUAUUUAUGGAAAUUGUAGAGGCUAGAGACAUAGCAAUCGUCAGGCUUCAGUUUUGUACUGACCACUCCAAGGCUUGUUCAACCUGGUGAAUCUUUCCUUCAUCUGCAUCAUUUUUCGCUUCAGUCUGUACAUCCUCGCCCUCCGCACAUCCUCGCCCUCCGCCCACCGAUCCUAUUCUCCGCCGCCCGCCUUCCUCUGCUCCUCCUCUGCCGCCGCCGAUCUCAU